rnacentral:rRNA from 1 species
ACCUACGGGACGCAGCAGUAGGGAAUCUUCCACAAUGGACGAAAGUCUGAUGGAGCAACGCCGCGUGAGUGAAGAAGGGUUUCGGCUCGUAAAGCUCUGUUGGUAGUGAAGAAAGAUAGAGGUAGUAACUGGCCUUUAUUUGACGGUAAUUACUUAGAAAGUCACGGCUAACUACAUGCCAGCAGCCGCGGUAAUACGUAGGUGGCAAGCGUUGUCCGGAUUUAUUGGGCGUAAAGCGAGUGCUGGCGGUUUCA